rnacentral:rRNA from 1 species
AGCGAACGCUGGCGGCAGGCCUAACACAUGCAAGUCGAACGAACUCUUCGGAGUUAGUGGCGGACGGGUGAGUAACACGUGGGAACGUGCCUUUAGGUUCGGAAUAACUCAGGGAAACUUGUGCUAAUACCGAAUGUGCCCUUCGGGGGAAAGAUUUAUCGCCUUUAGAGCGGCCCGCGUCUGAUUAGCUAGUUGGUGAGGUAAAGGCUCACCAAGGCGACGAUCAGUAGCUGGUCUGAGAGGAUGAUCAGCCACAUUGGGACUGAGACACGGCCCAAACUCCUACGGGAGGCAGCAGUGGGGAAUCUUGCGCAAUGGGCGAAAGCCUGACGCAGCCAUGCCGCGUGAAUGAUGAAGGUCUUAGGAUUGUAAAAUUCUUUCAACGGGGACGAUAAUGACGGUACCCGGAGAAGAAGCCCCGGCUAACUUCGUG